rnacentral:rRNA from 1 species
AGUGAACGCUGGCGGUAGGCCUAACACAUGCAAGUCGAACGGCAGCACAGUAAGAGCUUGCUCUUACGGGUGGCGAGUGGCGGACGGGUGAGGAAUACAUCGGAAUCUACUUUUUCGUGGGGGAUAACGUAGGGAAACUUACGCUAAUACCGCAUACGACCUACGGGUGAAAGCAGGGGAUCUUCGGACCUUGCGCGAUUGAAUGAGCCGAUGUCGGAUUAGCUAGUUGGCGGGGUAAAGGCCCACCAAGGCGACGAUCCGUAGCUGGUCUGAGAGGAUGAUCAGCCACACUGGAACUGAGACACGGUCCAGACUCCUAAGGGAGGCCGCAGUGGGGAAUAUUGGACAAUGGGCGCAAGCCUGAUCCAGCCAUACCGCGUGGGUGAAGAAGGCCUUCGGGUUGUAAAGCCCUUUUGUUGGGAAAGAAAAGCAGCAGGUUAAUACCCCGCUGUUCUGACGGUACCCAAAGAAUAAGCACCGGCUAACUUCGUG